rnacentral:rRNA from 1 species
CCUGGCAACCAUAACGGAGGGGAAACACCCGUUCCCAUUCCGAACACGGAAGUUAAGCCCUCCAGUGCCGAUGGUACUGCGCGGGGAGCCGCGUGGGAGAGUAGGUCGUUGCCAGGG